GUGUCAGCCGCCGCGGUAAUACGGAGGGUGCGAGCGUUGUCCGGAUUUAUUGGGUUUAAAGGGUGCGUAGGCGGCUUCGUAAGUCUGGGGUGAAAGCCCGUUGCUCAACAACGGAACUGCCCUGGAAACUGCGGGGCUUGAGUCCAGACGAGGUCGGCGGAAUGGGCGGUGUAGCGGUGAAAUGCAUAGAUACCGUCCAGAACCCCGAUUGCGAAGGCAGCUGACUAGGCUGGUACUGACGCUGAGGCACGAAAGCGUGGGGAGCGAACAGGAUUAGAAACCCCCGUAGUCC
rnacentral:rRNA from 1 species